rnacentral:rRNA from 1 species
UACAGAGACUGCAAGCGUUAUUCGGAUUCACUGGGCGUAAAGGGUGCGCAGGCGGCCAAGUGUGUCAGGUGUGAAAUCCCGAGGCUUAACCUCGGAACUGCGCCUGGAACUACUUGGCUAGAGUACUGGAGAGGGUAACGGAAUUCACGGUGUAGCAGUGAAAUGCGUAGAUAUCGUGAGGAACACCAGAGGCGAAGGCGGUUACCUGGACAGUUACUGACGCUCAGGCACGAAAGCGUGGGGAGCAAAAGGG